AUAGGCACAGUCCCAGGGAUGGUUAGAAGGCCCCUGGAGUUCACCAUCAGAAUGGCCUUCCCCACUGCCACCUCGUUUCACCCAACCUUGGAAGCUGAAGCCAGCACUUUAUGUCUCAUGAUGCAAGAGAGGAAACCCACUCAAUUCCCAGCCUCCAAACUGCAUGGGGGAUUCCCAAGACCCUUUUGGCUUGCAGAAAUAUCCUCCAAGGAUGAGUAGAGUAGCCUUCUCCCCCAAAUCCUAUCACUUCCCUUCCCAACAGCCUGAACUUUUUAGGGGAGUUAAGGCAGGAACAUUUCCAGUCACCUAUUAAAACUGUGGUCACGGAGGUCUGACAACGUAAACACCUGGACCUUGACAUCAACAGCAAAUCCGGCUCAUCCAGGAGACCUUAAGGAUUUCAUUUGACUCCAGAUGUGGAUCAGGGCUAGUGGGACCAGCGUUGACGCGUCCCUAUGAGUGGGAAGAACACAUCCCUUUUUGAGCACUUCAUAGCCUGGGCUUGUGCAGAGUAAAGGGAAAGACCAGAGAGCCCCAUGGUGUAUCGUGCCCUGAAGCCCACUGCAUUUGAAGACCAUAAAAUAUGCAGCAAGUCCAUUUGUGUUGCCUUUCUCCUCCUUGAUCAUCAUGAAAUAAAUUGUUGCAAAAGGAAAA